UACGAAGGGGGCUAGCGUUGUUCGGAAUUACUGGGCGUAAAGCGCACGUAGGCGGGUUUUUAAGUCAGGUGUGAAAUCCCGGGGCUCAACCUCGGAACUGCAUUUGAUACUGGAGACCUAGAGACCGGGAGAGGUGAGCGGAAUACCGAGUGUAGAGGUGAAAUUCAUAGAUAUUCGGUGGAACACCAGUGGCGAAGGCGGCUCACUGGACCGGUACUGACGCUGAGGUGCGAAAGCGUGGGGAGCAAACAGG
rnacentral:rRNA from 1 species